rnacentral:lncRNA from 1 species
AUGUGAGUGUCGGGAAGAAACAGGAUGAAGUUUGUGCACUCAGCAGAACUGAGAGCCUGAAAGUCCCAUCUAGCACACUCAGCCGUGAGCCUCAGCUUCGAAGAUUUCCCGUGAUUUAUGUUCCCACAAGGAGCAAUUGAAAGCAAAAUCCAGACCAAGCUGGGGUGUCACCACAGAGCUCUGUUCGUGAGGCCGCUUGCAGCAGACAUCACCAGCUGGGGCCAAGCAAUCUUUCCUGGCGUGACGGUGAUUUCCUUGGCCUGCAUUCAGCUACGCUGCCAUUUUGGGCUUUUUCUCUUCCAGCUGAGGCCUCUCCCCACACCACGAGGGGGAGAUGAUGCUAUUUUCCAGUUACCAGGCGCGCACGCACACAAAAAUUCAAGGCGGUUUUACACUAAGCCACCAGGAAAGAAUUCAGCGGGAUGUUAAACCGGAGAAACAAGUGCUGAAAUUUCAAGCCGUCAUAAUCUUGGAAGUAAAACCCCAAACGUCUGGGUAAUGAAGCUUCCCAGACGUGUUUGUGUGUUCCCUGAAGCCUUGCCCGAAGAGCCUUGAUUUCACGUCUCGGCUCCCGGACGGGGCCCAGAGGAGUGACUCAGAGAUGCUCGCUCGUCAGCACCAAAAGGAAACGAGACGACGGUCGGAAAUUGAUAGGGGGAGGAGGAAUUAAAAGGCCUUGCCUGAAAGGGAGCACAAAACCCAACAUUCAUCUUCUCUGCGAUGACACACAUCUGUUGUGGAUCUUGCAGCAGGAGGGACAGCAGCCUGAGGAAGAGGGACUGAGCCUGAGCGAGGGCUCACCUGCUGGGACACUGAUCCGACAGCUGCUCGACUGCUUGCACUAGUGCAUUUUUUGCACCAUAAUCAAGCUAGGAAGUCAUCAUCGGAUACAAAAUCAGCUCAUAUCAACACUCAAGUUUAUUGUCUUGCUUUGUUGCUGCUGUAAACGUUGAUAGCAAGCUUCUCGUGUAGAAGAAAAAUAAAAGUGUGAAGGCAAUAAACUCA